UUAUGGCUCAGAACGAACGCUGGCGGCAUGGAUUAGGCAUGCAAGUCGAACGGUGUGGCAAUACGACAGUGGCGGAAGGGUGAGGAACACGUGAAUAAUCUGCCCUCAAGUUUGGGGAAUAACUUUCCGAAAGGAAAGCUAAUACCGAAUGUGGUGUUUUAUCGCAUGAUAGGACACUAAAGAUUUAUCGCUUGAGGAUGAGUUCGCGUCCCAUUAGCUAGUUGGCGGGGUAACGGCCCACCAAGGCAGAGAUGGGUAGCUGGUCUGAGAGGAUGAUCAGCCACACUGGGACUGAGACACUGCCCAGACUCCUACGGGAGGCUGCAGUCGAGAAUCUUUUGCAAUGCGCGAAAGCCGUGACAAAGCAAUGCCGCGUGCCGGAUGAAGGUCUUCGGAUUGUAAACGGCUGUCACUCGGGACGAAAAUGACGGUACCGAGGGAGGAAGCCACGGCUAACUACGUGCCAGCCGCAGC
rnacentral:rRNA from 1 species